GACGAACGCUGGCGGCGUGCUUAACACAUGCAAGUCGAACGGAAAGGCCCCUUUGGGGGUACUCGAGUGGCGAACGGGUGAGUAACACGUGAGUAACCUGCCCUUGACUUCGGGAUAACUUCAGGAAACUGGGGCUAAUACCGGAUAGGAAUCCUUGCUGCAUGGUGGGGGUUGGAAAGCUUCGGCGGUUUUGGAUGGACUCGCGUCUUAUCAGCUUGUUGGUGGGGUAGUGGCUUACCAAGGCUUUGACGGGUAGCCGGCCUGAGAGGGCGACCGGCCACAUUGGGACUGAGAUACGGCCCAGACUCCUACGGGAGGCAGCAGUGGGGAAUAUUGCACAAUGGGCGGAAGCCUGAUGCAGCAACGCCGCGUGCGGGAUGACGGCCUUCGGGUUGUAAACCGCUUUCAGCAGGGGCGAAGCUUGUGGUGACGGUACCUGCAGAAGAAGCACCGGCUAACUACGUG
rnacentral:rRNA from 1 species